rnacentral:rRNA from 1 species
UGGGGAAUUUUGGACAAUGGGCGCAAGCCUGAUCCAGCAAUGCCGCGUGAGUGAAGAAGGCCUUCGGGUUGUAAAGCUCUUUUGUCAGGGAAGAAACGGCCGGGGCUAAUAUCCCCGGCUAAUGACGGUACCUGAAGAAUAAGCACCGGCUAACUACGUGCCAGCAGCCGCGGUAAUACGUAGGGUGCAAGCGUUAAUCGGAAUUACUGGGCGUAAAGCGUGCGCAGGCGGUUUUGUAAGUCUGACGUGAAAUCCCCGGGCUCAACCUGGGAAUUGCGUUGGAGACUGCAAGGCUGGAGUCUGGCAGAGGGGGGUAGAAUUCCACGUGUAGCAGUGAAAUGCGUAGAGAUGUGGAGGAACACCGAUGGCGAAGGCAGCCCCCUGGGUCAAGACUGACGCUCAUGCACGAAAGCGUGGGGAGCAAACA